rnacentral:miRNA from 1 species
UCACAAUUCUAGCCUGGCAA